GUGUCAGCCGCCGCGGUAAAACGUAGGAGGCGAGCGUUAUCCGGAUUUACUGGGCGUAAAGCGUGUGCAGGCGGUUCGGCAAGUUGGAUGUGAAAGCUCCUGGCUUAACUAGGAGAGGUCGUUCAAUACUACCGAACUUGAGGGCAUCAGAGGAAGGUGGAAUUCCCGGUGUAGUGGUGAAAUGCGUAGAUAUCGGGAGGAACACCAGUGGCGAAAGCGGCCUUCUGGGAUGAUCCUGACGCUCAUACACGAAAGCUAGGGUAGCGAACGGGAUUAGAAACCCUCGUAGUCC
rnacentral:rRNA from 1 species